rnacentral:rRNA from 1 species
UAGAUGCGAGAGUAGAGCAUAUCAAUAAGCGGAGGAAAAGAAACUAACAAGGAUUCCCUUAGUAACGGCGAGUGAAGCGGGAAGAGCUCAAAUUUGAAAUCUUCAAGGUUCUACCUUGACGAAUUGUAGUUUAAAGAAGUGUUUUCUGUUAGAUGAGUAGCAAAAGUUCCUUGGAAUGGGACAUCAUAGAGGGUGAGAAUCCCGUAUUUGGUUAUUCAUUCUAGCUUUGUGAUACACUUUCAAAGAGUCGGAUUGUUUGGGAAUGCAGUCCAAAAUGGGUGGUAAAUUUCAUCUAAAGCUAAAUAUUGGCGAGAGACCGAUAGCGAACAAGUACCGUGAGGGAAAGAUGAAAAGAACUUUGAAAAGAGAGUUAAACAGUACGUGAAAUUGUCAAAAGGGAAGCGUUUGACACCAGUGUUGUUUUUCCGAAAAUCAAUUACGAAUGGCUUGAUUUUGUGUUGUAUUGACCUUAUCAGCUUUCUGCACUUUUUUCGAGUCUUUCUUAAUGCACUUUUCGGUUAACAAGUCAACAUCAAUUUCUUUUGUUGUAAAAGAGUAUUCGGAAGGUGGCUUUCUUUUCGGAGAAAGUGUUUAUAGCCCUAUACUUCUACAAUCGGAGAGAUUGAGGUCUGCAGCGUAGAUCCUUCGGGGUUAGAUACACUUUGUGCUAAGUUGUAGCUUUUCAUAGACAACUUGUUGACUAUGUUUAGUCAUGCGGCUUACUCGCUUAUGCUAUUUUACCUACGCUUAGGAUGUUGAGCGCAUGUCUCUCUCU